rnacentral:lncRNA from 1 species
GGGUGGUGGUGUGAGAAGCUGGAGAGCUGAAGCCUAUUGCCAGAUAAUCCAAACUGAAUCCUGCUGGAGGUCGUGGACACUGGUAGCACAGAGAUGGAAACUACACAGAAGCCCCAUGCAAGUGGUGCCUAUUGUUUUCAUGAUCGAAGCCUUCUUUCUGCAAAUCUGUGUGAGCUGACUGCCCUGCCACUGCCUCCUGCUAGAAAUCUGCUUCUUUCCCAGUAGCUCCUAUGAGCAACCCAUUUUGCCAUGGCAUAUGUUGGUCCUUUUGCCUUGUGUGAGCUGUGGCCUGUGUUGUAUAAAGCGACUCCAGACUCGUCGAUAUAUUUGCUCUCAAAAAUUAUGAAGAAGGCAAAGUAAAAAAAAAUUAAAACCACCACCAAGGACAAUUCAUGAGUAUGCUGCUUUUUACCUGGGAAUUCUUUCCAGGGAUUUGGAUACUUCAGCUGCCAAACUUGCCCGUGUCCCUGUUGUCAUUGUCUGGGCAGCCUCUCCUCUGAAUGUGCAUCCCAGCUCUGGCAGGUUCUCAGUUUCUGAGAUCAUUUCAAGUUCCCUUUGCUCUCUUUUCACUUGGUCUUGCACACCCGUUCCAUCCUUAAACUAAGGAAGCCAUUGCAACGUAUGAAUGUAUUGUCAACGUACAAACAUUGGUGGGAGGAAUGUUUUCAUAAUGCUGGCUUUGGGAUUGCGUGAUAUGAAGGCAUCUAGAUAUGAUAGCUGGCUGUUAGUUUAGUAUCUUUUGUUUAGCCUGUCUUUAUCUGCCAGCUUACUGUUAAUAUACUGUUAAUAGAAUUCUGAAUGCCUGCAUAUAUGACAAGUCAUAACCAUAAUGAGCCUGUUUAUUUCAAGAUAUGAAGUGGCAUCAUUCAUUUGCACAUUAAAGGAAACUUUGCUGGAAGAAGACAAAUCUGAGGCUACAAAAGCUUUGUGAUGAUUGUAAUGCUAAUCUGUAUUCAAUCCCGUAUGUAAAGUGUCACAUCUUGAAUACUUUAAAAAAUUAAUUAGUCAACUGUGUUGUGCCACAGAUGAGCAGAAGCAAGCAGUUGCUUGCAUCCACAAGCUGUGCCAGUCUCUAUGCUAUCAUGACUUCAGAGGUCCUUGGCUUCUGAACUGGAGGAGGUCUCACCUCAAACCUGAUGGAGUAUGAGAUGAGGUGGUGUUUGUGUGGCUGUGCUGGAGCACUAGCAGUCCCCGAAUAGUCCUCCAUGUCCUAUAUUUAUAAAGA